UGCCAGACUCCUACGGGAGGCAGCAGUGGGGAAUAUUGCACAAUGGGGGGAACCCUGAUGCAGCGACGCCGCGUGAAGGAAGAAGUAUCUCGGUAUGUAAACUUCUAUCAGCAGGGAAGAAAGAAGACGGUACCUGACUAAGAAGCCCCGGCUAACUACGUGCCAGCAGCCGCGGUAAUACGUAGGGGGCGAGCGCUAUCCGGAUUUACUGGGUGUAAAGGGAGCGUAGACGGCCAUGCAAGCUCGGUGUGAAAGGUGCGGGCACAACCCGCAGACUGCACUGAGAACUGUAUGGCUGGAGUGCCGGAGGGGCAGGCGGAAUUCCUGGUGUAGCGGUGAAAUGCGUAGAUAUUAGGAGGAACACCAGUGGCGAAGGCGGCUUACUGGACUGUAACUGACGUUGAGGCUCGAAAGCGUGGGGAGCAAACAGGAUUAGAUACCCCCGUA
rnacentral:rRNA from 1 species